rnacentral:misc_RNA from 1 species
AGAAUAUAGCUCAGCUGAAAAUCUAAAGCACGCAAUUGGAAUGGAUAAAAAAGGCAAAAGAAAGAACAUGACGAAGAAGCACAAAACAUUGCUUCAACAAACUCACAAGGGGAGUUCUAAUAUUGCAAUACCGAAGUAACUUCCCCGAACGUCUUGUAUCUUCCGAAAGUAUCACAUGAGCAGAUUUUAAAACACGGAGAGCCCAGCGAAGAUGAAAGGGUUCAGUACGCUGCUCAUACACAAAAUUUUCCGCAAUUACAAGAACAAAAGUAGCAAUAAAUUAUUUAUCAAGUUGAGCAAGCACCUCAAGGUGAUAUCUUCAAGGUUCCAAUUGGAGUUCCCACUAAAUAUAAACCAGGCUUUAGAGGACCACGUUUAGGUGACUGUUCGGGGAUUGAAUCUGCGAGCUCGGGAGAAAUUUGAAAGCUAGAACAGAAGGAAAGCGAGGCAAUUCUAGGGUAAAGCAAACAUUGAUUUCAGGGAUAAAAGGUGUGUUUUGAGUCCGGGAGAAGUUGAAAGGUGAGCGAUAUCGUCAUCACAGAUAACCGUCGUAGCAGCAUUUGCUCGGCUUGCAUUGAUGAAACAGGAAACGGGAAAAAAAAUCCGAUAAUUAGGCGGCACAGCAACCACGUAUCUUGUUCGGAGCAAACAGGGAAAGCAGAGGCGGAAAGAGCAUGGAGGGGUUAG